rnacentral:lncRNA from 1 species
UUAGAUAUCAAGUAUUCAAAAGUCAAUAAGGAACAUGCUUGCUCCCAAGAAGCUGGUAGGGAGUUAGAGAUACUAACAUACAGUGGUAUAAUUGUGUGCUGAAUGCCGUGGUGGAAGCUCAGGAGUCCCCUCUUCUAGAAAGCUAUCUUUGGCUUGCUUUGUUCUCCCACAGUACUCUGGGCCUCUCUACCUCACAGCCCCUGUCACACUGUAGUCCACUUGUCUUUUACUCAGUGGUCUCCUCACUAACCCAUAAGAUCCUUGAGGGCAGAACUGUCUGAUUAAUCUGUUUUCCUGAUGCCUAGCACGGCAUGGCUGACUCCCAACAAAUAUUUGUUGAACAGAUGCCAUGGAAACAUCAACAAGGGAGCUAUUAAUUCUGUCUGGGGAAUCAGGCAAGGAAUGCCUCACAGAGAAGGUGACAGAUGGACUAUGUCCUUGAAAGAUUAAUAGCAGUUUUCCCGGGAGAGAAGGAGGGAAAUGGCAUUCCAGAUAGAGGCAUGUGCAAAGGCUUGAAGGUACAACACAGCAUGGCUUUU